rnacentral:rRNA from 1 species
GUGCCAGCAGCCGCGGUAAUACGUAGGUCCCGAGCGUUGUCCGGAUUUAUUGGGCGUAAAGCGAGCGCAGGCGGUUAGAUAAGUCUGAAGUUAAAGGCUGUGGCUUAACCAUAGUACGCUUUGGAAACUGUUUAACUUGAGUGCGAGAGGGGAGAGUGGAAUUCCAUGUGUAGCGGUGAAAUGCGUAGAUAUAUGGAGGAACACCGGUGGCGAAAGCGGCUCUCUGGCUUGUAACUGACGCUGAGGCUCGAAAGCGUGGGGAGCAAACAGGAUU